ACCGUUUCUUGGUGAGGAUUUGUUUUAUCUUUUUCUACCAUAAACCCUUGAUGAGAUAAUAUUGGCAGUUGCCUCAGAAUGUUAGUGUUAUAUAAAAAAGAGAAUGCAAAGGAAGUUGGAUGUUCCUAGUAAUUGUAAUUUGAGGUGUACGUUCAGUUCCUAGUAGUUGUAGGAGAUUGCAAUGGAAGGGCAACCCGGUGUUUUAAUUUGUUGAAUCUCAAUUCAUUGUAACAACCGCAAUCAUAUAAGAGUCUUUGGGUGG
rnacentral:lncRNA from 1 species